GGAUUAGUAGUCAAGUGGUUACGACAUAGCAUUUUCGAUGCUAGGCUCACGGGUUCGAUCCCCGUCUAGUCUA